rnacentral:lncRNA from 1 species
CAAUCUUCUUUGUAAAUGCAGCUUAUGACUCAUGGCAGAUUAAGGAUAUUUUGGCAUCCGGUGUUGUUAUCUACAUGGCACUUUGCGUAGCUGCAAACUUGAUAAAAUAUUGCUACAUCAUGAAACAGCAACUGUUAAAUAUCAUAACAAAGAAAACAAUACACAAAGACAACAAGCAGUGGACUAUGACUUAUGGAGUGGUUUUUUUUUUUGAGUCCUGCGACACCUGCCGGCAAUCUCUUGUGGACAACCGGUGAAGCAUUGAGAAUUGAGAAAGAAUAACUUGAUGUCGUUGUUAAUUUUGCUGUCAAAUGCAAGACAUAAUAACAGUACGACAAUUUCUCAGAAGCCUACAAUUGUUAUAAAGGAAUUGCAAAUNUGCAGUAACACAAAUUAAUUAGUCAAAGCUGCAGAAUUUCGAAAAAUUCCCAAAUUGGAAUAGAGACAAAACUCAAAGAGAAAGUUUGAGCUCAGAUUACCUUUUCCA